rnacentral:tRNA from 1 species
UUAAUUGAAACCAAAAUAGAGGUAUAUUACUGUUAAUAAUAAAAAUGAACUUAGCUUUCCAAUUAAA